GCUCCACUCAAAAAAAAGAAAGUCCUAAUGCAAGUAAUCGAAAGUGAAGAUAUUGCAAAACAAAUAAUGACAGCUGAAUUGAUGAUAUGAUGACAGGCUCAUCCCUCCAUUGUAAACUAUGCUGCGUAAGAUAUGCCUGCUUCCUGUUUGCCUUAUGCCAUGAUUGUAAGUUUCCUGAGGCCUCCCCAGCCAUGCUUCCUAUACAGCCUGUGGAACCAUGGGUCGAUUAAACCUCUUUUCAUUACAAAUUACCCAGUCUCAAGUAGUUCUUUAUAGCAAUGCAAAAACGGACAAAUACAUGGAUUGUUUUUGGAUUCUGAAGAUUCAGUGCUAUGGAUUUCACAUGAGUUUGGCUAUUUUGAUUAAAAUGUGGCUGUUUGUCUUUCC
rnacentral:lncRNA from 1 species